rnacentral:rRNA from 1 species
GACGAACGCUGGCGGCGUGCUUAACACAUGCAAGUCGAACGGAAAGGCCCUGCUUUUGUGGGGUGCGCGAGUGGCGAACGGGGGAGUAACACGUGAGUAACCUGCCCUUGACUUUGGGAUAACUUCAGGAAACUGGGGCUAAUACCGGCUAGGAGCUCCUGCUGCAUGGUGGGGGUUGGAAAGUUUCGGCGGUUGGGGAUGGACUCGCCGCUUAUCGGCUUGUUGGUGGGGUAGUGGCUUACCAAGGCUUUGACGGGUAGCCGGCCUGAGAGGGUGACCGGCCACAUUGGGCCUGCGCUACGGCCCAGACUCCUACGGGACGCAGCAGUGGGGAAUAUUGCACAAUGGGCGGAAGCCUGAUGCAGCAACGCCGCGUGCGGGAUGACGGCCUUCGGGUUGUAAACCGCUUUCGCCUGUGACGAAGCGUGAGUGACGGUAAUGGGUAAAGAAGCACCGGCUAACUACGUG